CCUACGGGUGGCAGCAGUGGGGAAUAUUGGACAAUGGGCGCAAGCCUGAUCCAGCAAUGCCGCGUGUGUGAAGAAGGCCUGCGGGUUGUAAAGCACUUUAAGCAGGAAAGAAGGGGUGAAAGUUAAUACCUUUCAUCAUUGACGGUACCUGCAGAAUAAGCACCGGCUAACUCCGUGCCAGCAGCCGCGGUAAUACGGAGGGUGUGAGCGUUAAUCGGACGUAGUGGGCGUACAGCGCCCGUCGGGAAAGCCCUGGGCUUAACCUGGGAACUGCGGUGGAUACUGUCGGGCUAGAGUGUGGUAGAGGGGAGUGGAAUUUCCGGUGUAGCAGUGAAAUGCGUAGAGAUCGGAAGGAACACCAGUGGCGAAGGCAGCUCCCUGGACUAACACUGACGCUGAGGUGCGAAAGCGUGGGGAGCAAACAGGAUUAGAUACCCUUGUAGUC
rnacentral:rRNA from 1 species